GUACAUAAAGUACACAUUUCGUCUGUCACACCUUCGGCAUUUACCGUCCUCUGUGCACAUUUGUUGUCAUUGUUUUAUUUGCGUAAAUAUGCUCGUGUUUACAGUCGUGCAUAAAUUCGUAAAUUUAUUCUCUUGCUUCCGAAUAUUCGUUCCGGUAUUGCCUCAUGUUUCCCCGCUUUACGUCUUAGACCAAAGAUAAUCCUCACUUUUGUCAUCUUAACUCUGCUCAUAGUUCACAUUUCAUUUUCAUUAUUUUCCAUACUCUGUAGAAAGCCGUGCGACAUACUUAGAAAAUUAGUCGGCUUUAUUUGCAGCUUUUAUCCUACAAUUAAACGAGUAAGCGUCUGCUUACUUAAGCCAUUCAAAUGCAAAUUAGUUUAGUUCAGAGGUCAAAAGAGUUCGGUAACAAUGGUUGGGCAAAUUGAUAAUAGACAUAAAAAAAGUUUGUGAAAGAAACACUUCAAUUAAAAGUAGGCGUUACAUAUUUAAUAACUACAAGUGAACAAGUAUUGCGUAUGAUAAUACCAAAGCUGCUUGUGGUCUAUCAUAAACAAAGCCAUUUCACAAAUUUCUCCCUCGAGUCCUUGGAAGUUGUUCGUUGCACAAUUUUUCGGAGGCGGUAAAAAAAUGUCUGCUGUAAAAAGUUGAUUUGCAUCAUUGAAAUAUCAACCGUGUUUGUAAAGUUUUUGUAAAAGUGCAGUUAUAUAAACAACAUAUCAAAUGACCAAUGUCACUAAAGGGCAGAUAAUAGCUUUAUCGCAGAUAAUGAAUCCCUUUAAAAUGUCAGACAUCAAAUAGAAGCUGUUGCGACAGGAGUGAUAGUGGAUGUAUCAACGUUUUGCCGAAGGCUGAGAUAGGUUCGCGAUUUUAUGACUGGAAAUGGAAUAAAGCAGUUGGUGUGGCCUGAGAACAGACCCGAUUUCAACCCCAUCGAAAACCUGUGGGCGAUUAUGAAAAAUCAGGCUGUCGCACAGAAGCCGAAUAACUAAAAAGACUGAAUCCGCCCAAAGUAUUGAUUAAGAUAUUUCCCAAUAAAUAGAGUAAAAUUAUAAGAUAAAAGAGCAAUUAAUGUGAUAUUACUAUUGUAAUGAGUUUUGUAAUCAAUAUUGUGAUCUAGAUAUUGAUGCAUGUUGUGGAAUAUUCCUAAAAUUAAUAAUGUGACCAAAUUUGAGUCAAAAAUCCUUUUCAAAAACUUCACAUUAAUAAAUUUUGGCUAAUAAUUUAUUUGUUCAUUAACUCCAAAUCCCAAGAAACUGUCAUUUUCACUUUUUUCUUGAAUGCAUAUUUUAGCUCAUAAUACAAAUUUUCCUACUGAA